rnacentral:rRNA from 1 species
GAGAGAUUCCGUCACCACCAAAAGAGUUAAGCACAGGGACACAUUUGAAGUCUCGGAGCCGGGUGUUGGUUCCGGUAGCGAUCGAGGGAAGUUAGUACCGAAGUCCGGGAUGGAAGAUGGCGAGAAAAGCUGUGUGUAUUUCUGCGGUGCCCGUACCGCAAACCGACACAGGUAGGUAGGAAGAAGAUUCUAAGGCCAACGGGAGAAGGGUUGUUAAGGAACUCGGCAAAUUGACCCCGUAACUUCGGGAGAAGGGGUGCUCCAGAGAUGGAGCCGCAGAGAAUCGGCCCAAGCAACUGUUUACCAAAAACACAGGUUUGUGCUAAAUCGAAAGAUGACGUAUACGAGCUGACGCCUGCCCGGUGCUGGAAGGUUAAGAGGAGAUGUGCAAGCAUUGAAUCGAAGCCCCAGUGAACGGCGGCCGUAACGAUAACGGUCCUAAGGUAGCGAAAUUCCUUGUCAGGUAAGUUCUGACCCGCAUGAAAGGCGUAAUGAUUUGGGCACUGUCUCGACAGCCCGCCCGGCGAAAUUGUAGUACCGGUGAAGAUGCCGGUUAUCCGCGACAAGACGGAAAGACCCCAUGGAGCUUUACUGUAGCCUAAUACUGGGUUUCGAUGUUGCAUGCACAGGAUAGAUGGGACACUGGGAAACAAGUGCUUUGGCAUUUGUGGAGUGGCCGUUGGGAUACCAUCCUUGCGAUAUUGGAAUUCUAACCUGCGCCUUUGAAUCAAGGCGGGGGACAUUGUUAGGUGGGCAGUUUGACUGGGGCGGUCGCCUCCUAAAGAGUAACGGAGGCGUUCAAAGGUUCGCUCAGCUUGAACGGAAAUCAAGCAAAAGAGUGCAAACGCAGAAGCGAGCCUAACUGCGAGACUGACGGGUCGAGCAGUAACGAAAGUUGGAGUUAGUGAUCCGGUGGUAUGUGAGUGGAAAUGCCAUCGCUCAACGGAUAAAAGUUACCCUGGGGAUAACAGGCUGAUCUCCCCCAAGAGUCCACAUCGACGGGGAGGUUUGGCACCUCGAUGUCGGCUCAUCGCAUCCUGGGGCUGUAUUCGGUCCCAAGGGUUUGGCUUCGCCAAUUAAAGCGGUACGCGAGCUGGGUUCAGAACGUCGUGAGACAGUUCGGUCCCUAUCUGUCGUGGGCGCAGGAUAUUUGAUGGGAGCUGUUCCUAGUACGAGAGGACCGGAGCGGACGUACCUCUGGCGCACCAGUUGUUCUGCCAAGGGCAUAGCUGGGCAACUAUGUACGGAUCGGAUAAACGCUGAAAGCAUCUAAGCGUGAAGCCGACCCAAAGAUAAGAUAUCCCAUUGUUUCAAACAAGUAAGACCCCUUGAAGACUACAAGGUUGAUAGGCAUGAUGUGUAAGUGGAGUGAUCCAUUCAGCAAGCGUGUACUAAUAGGUCGAGGGCUUGACC